GAUGAACGCUGGCGGCAUGCCUAACACAUGCAAGUCGGGCGGGCAGACGUGGUUCUUGUGGCGGUCGCGUGAGCAACGCGCAAGAACCUGCCCUGGGGAGGAGCACAACAGAUGGAAACGACUGCUAAUACCCCGCGGACCGAGGAGCAAAAGGUGUAAUCCGCCGGAGGGGUGGCUAGCGUCUGAUGGGCUAGUUGGUGCGGCAAUAGCUUACCAAGGCGAGGGUCAGUAGAUGUUCCGAGAGGAUGAUCGACCACACUGGGACGGAGACACGCAGCAGGCAACCUCGCGAAACGGCCGUAGGCAUUAUGCCGCAACGGGGGGAGAGCUAAGAAGGCAAUGCGACGUGAAAGUAGAGUGCCCAGGGAUGAUGAACUGCUUAAGCAGGAAAACACGCAAUGACGGUAUCUGAGGAGAAAGCAUCGGCUAACUCCGUG
rnacentral:rRNA from 1 species